rnacentral:rRNA from 1 species
UAGGGAAUAUUGGACAAUGGGGGCAACCCUGAUCCAGCCAUGCCGCGUGAGUGAAGAAGGCCCUCGGGUUGUAAAGCUCUUUUGUCCGGAAAGAAAAGCUUCGGGUUAAUACCCCGGGGUUCUGACGGUACCGGAAGAAUAAGCCCCGGCUAACUACGUGCCAGCAGCCGCGGUAAUACGUAGGGGGCAAGCGUUGUCCGGAUUUACUGGGUGUAAAGGGCGCGCAGGCGGGAUAAAAAGUCAGUGGUGAAAUCCUACAGCUUAACUGUAGAACUGCCUUUGAUACUUUUAUUCUUGAGUUCGGGAGAGAGAGACGGAAUUCCAGGUGUAGUGGUGAAAUACGUAGAUAUCUGGAAGAACACCAGUUGCGAAGGCGGUCUCUUGGUCCGACACUGACGCUGAGGCGCGAAAGCGUGGGGAGCAAACA